AGUUGCUUUGCCUUUAAAAAUGUAUUGAUUUCCCGGGCUCCCAACAAGCUUAAUGCAAUCGAUAGAGAUGGCCUUUCAAGAUCAGCACCAGUGUAAGCAUACCAUCCUCUCAUGCACAGUUACCUCUUCACAGCCACACACACUCUUCCUCUGUAUCCCCAUCACAACCCCAGGUUAUGAUUGUCCUUGGGCAAAAGAACAGUUUGUCUGCAUUAGGCGUGAAGUGUUCCUAUGGGAUUGUUCUCCCACUCUGGUAAUGAUGUUAUGUAUGAAGGGCCAUGCAGUUUGAUUCUAUAAUGAAGGUGAAAGAGAUUGCAGCACACUUCUCUUUGACCUCUGUUAUCUCUGUCAUCUGUAUUUUCUCCAUCUUUCAUCCCAUCUCAGCUCUCACCAAUUCUGCAGAAGAUCGAUAGCUGUUUAUGUUUGCAGUGUGCUCAAAGGUCUGCCUCGUUGGUUGUGUGGUGGGAUCUGUCCUUGUAACUCUGGGUGAGGGCAAUCAAAGAGACUCGAUGUGUUUCUCCUGCACGAGGUUCUCUGGCAGGGAGAGGCCAGGAUGGGGUUGCAGACCAGGGAGAGACUUUCAAGUUCAAGUGCAAGAUUACAUGUUCCUGACCAAGAGGAAGAGCAGAGAAAAAAUGUGGUAACUAAGUCAAGAGGAGUCGUCUGUAGCUAUGCUGCUGUAACCUUAACAGCACAUUGAUUCCGAGUGAGAGAAAAAGUGUACAAGAGAAGCUGGGGAGAAAAAUCCACCCCUCUGCUUUCUCUUCACUGCUACUCUCCUCCUCUUUCCCUCCCACUAAGAUAUUCUGUCUGAUGCCACCCCCUUCUCUCUCUCUCUCUCUCUCUCUGUCUCUCUCGAUCUGUCCUGUAUUCCGAUCCUUCACUCUAUCCUACACAUGCACAUACUAUUAAACACCACUUUUCUUCUUUUACUUCGUCUCUCAUCAGGUUGUCUUUUAGUGCACGGCUUUAAAGAGCCACUAGUAUUUCUGUUUCUCCCGACGGGUGGAGAAACCGGCUCAAUGCGGCUCUCUCUCUCUCUCAGCUGUGUAUCACAUACUGGGAUAGCCUGUUUCUCAUUGAGAGGCCCUUUUUUUACUUGUAACACAGAAGUCUUGCUCUCUUUACGGUGCAGGUUUCCCUCCCCCUCCCCUUCUUCUCUAUACUUAUCCGUAAAGAAAGGAAGGAAGCGGAAGAGAGAGGUGUCUGUGAGGAGGAAUGAUGAAAAGGCAGAGAGAGAGAGAGAGAGAGAGAGAGAGAGAGAGAGAGAGAAGGAGGGGGUAAAAGAAGAGCGCAAGACUGAAGAGAGUGGACUGGCAGAAACGUGAAAUACGAGAGGGAGAAGAGUAAAGUAGGAGAGGAACCCGUAAGAGGAGAAACGAGGGAUGGCUGACCUGGAAGUGGGCAAAAUCGAGGGAAGGGAAGCCGCCGUUCUUUUCCAACACUUGCUGAAGCUGUGAUGAGAUCUGCUCUGGUGCUCCUCAGGGACUACAGGUGUUCACUCAAAGGAGAACAGCUGGUCAGUGAUCAGGUAACCAUACUUUUCUUUCCCACCAUCAUUCUCCACCCUUUGUCUUCUCUACCUUCAGUGCUCACACACCAGAGCUGAAUACCACCUAUGAGUCGAAGCUUUAAACUCUUAGAACCCGUUUUGUUUUGUUUUUUUUGUGCCACCAAAUAGUUUUGUUAUUGUUCAGUAUGAGUUCCUCCAAGAAUGUUGUAUGUUCUUCUGCAUAUGUUUUUAAUAUCCUUCCCAUUUCUGCCAUAGUUUGUAUGUUUUCUUAUGAGUCAGCUUUUAUCAUAGAAAUAUUUGUUUAACAACCUUACAUUCCUGUUUUGUUUCCCACUCUUUUCUUACAUUAACGGCCGACGCUGGAUGUCAAAUAGCUCUCUGAAUAUUUCUGAUUGUUCCUGAAUAUCCUUACAAUGCCAGCUGACCUUCAUAUUUUGCAGCUGAUCAGAGCUGUGCGUGUGUAUUUCUCUUCUCUCAGCAGCAGAGCUCAGUCCCACCAACAUGCCUGGCAUACACGCUAACCCCUCUGACGUGAUUGACAACUCUGCCCUAGCAACCGCUUGGCACGUUGCCGGGCUGCCCAGGGUUGCCAGGGAAAGUGUUCCCAUAGCAACACAUUUAACCACUUUAUUUGCCACUUUGAAAUGUAGCAAAGGUUUUACAAAGAGGCAGAAAGGGAUUACUGUUGAAAUUUGCCCAAGAAGAAAAUAUGUGGAAAGCUGAUAUGAUUUUUGUGAUUCAUUUUUGCUAUUUAUUUUUCUAUUUACUUUUUAUUUUUGUAUGUGUUUAGGGAUCUGCUGGUAGUGCCGAAGACAUUUUUUUUCUUUAUGUUAGACUAUGUAGAUUUUGUAUGGUGUAUGGUGGACAAAAGGUCUUAAUACCGGCCAUUUAAAAUCAAAGACAUCAAUAUUCAAUUCCAGAAUAAAAAUGUCCUGAUAA